CUUAGUUCUGUUUGCAUUUCUUUUCAGCUGCAAAGCUCAAACUAUUUCCGGCUCUUUCGUGACAAGUAACGCUGCCGGUGGACCACCGCUGGAAUAAAACCCAAGGGCGUCAGGAGGACAACAAGGGAAUGUUUUCUGCUUCAUCUUCAUCCCUGGAAAAUGUCACACCACCAAGUCCCGCAUCACCGCUCCACUCUGGACCAUUAUUUAAUAGCGAUGGCGAAGAGCUGCUGGUCCAGCGCCAUGACUCCCGUCUGCCUCGCCUUUUCCAACACACCGUCCUACCGAUGCUGGCGUUUCCGGCGUCUGACAAGGUUUGAUGUGUUGAAGCGUGAUGUUUUUUUCCCCUUUGAAAAAUCUCCCACGAUCAACAUCAUGUUUGUUUACACUGAUUUCCAACCGGCAUGUGUGAGAAAAGGAGCGCUUGAUUUGCUCACUUUAACCUCCAUACAGCACAAAAUGGAUAUUUUAAUCUUAUUGGAUCAUUUUUGUGUGUGUUUUAGUAUUAUAAUUCAUCAUAUCAACCUUAUCGUGCGCCCCUACUUUUUCGGUUCCUGGGGAACCAAAAAAACUUGUACAAAACCCAAUGCCAGUGAAGUUGGCACAUUGUGUAAAUGGUAAAUAAAAAGAGAAUACAAUGAUUUGCAAAUCCUUUUUAAUAGAAUAAACUGCAAAGACAAGACAUGUAAUGUUCCAACUGAGAAACCUAUUUUUGUUUUGUUGCAAAUAAUCAUAAACUUAGAAUUUAAUGGCAGCAACACAUUGCAAAACAGUUGUCACAGGGGCAUUUUUACCACUGUGUUACAUGGCCUUUCCUUUUAACAACACUCAGUAAACGUUUGGGAACUGA